rnacentral:tRNA from 1 species
GCCGGGGUCGCCUAGCCUGGUUAGGGCGGCGGCCUGCUAAGCCGUUGGGGGUCACCCCGCGCGGGUUCAAGUCCCGCCCCCGGCG